rnacentral:rRNA from 1 species
UACGGAGGGUGCAAGCGUUAUCCGGAUUCACUGGGUUUAAAGGGUGCGUAGGUGGGCUAGUAAGUCCGUGGUGAAAUCUCCAAGCUUAACUUGGAAACUGCCGUGGAUACUAUUAGUCUUGAAUCUCGUGGAGGUAAGCGGAAUAUGUCAUGUAGCGGUGAAAUGCUUAGAUAUGACAUAGAACACCGUUAGCGAAGGCAGCUUGCUACACGAGUAUUGACACUGAGGCACGAAAGCGUGGGGAUCAAACAGG